GCAGGAAUAGACGCAAGGGCUGGAGCUGGGAGGGAUGGGGGGGGGGGGAGGGAGAAUCCCUCCAGCGGCCCAGCCCCGCCUCCCGAGAUGUGGGCAGGCCAUCCUCCUGCCCUAACACUUUCCACCACCUGCCUUCCGCCUUGCAGGGAGGCUACCACCGGCUCCGGGAAGCCCCUCCCGCAGACCUGCCGCUCCCCUGCCUCAGAAGGAGCUGCUCGACCGACAGAUACCAAGGUCGUCUUUGCGCCGGCGUGCGACCCAUUUAAUACGUUCUUUCUUCGAUGGAAGGCUGCUACGAGAUCCAUCGCGGGAAGCCCAUACCCCCACGUGGCGUAUCUCCUGAACCGCGCUUCUUUUUACCUUCUGCCCCGGGUGGCGUUCUGAACCUGACGGUCCGUGGGCUAUUGUUCCGUAUAGGAUGCCGGGACGGCUGGGUAGCCAUCCAGAAAAAGUAACGUCAGACUUACACUCCCAAUUCCUGUACUAGGACGGAUACGAAGAAGUGUGAUCUGUGCUCGAGGUGGAAAUGCAAAAUGAUGAACAAUUGAAAGGACAACGGGCAAAGAAUAGAGACACUCAGUAACUUGACCAAACUCACAAGAAGCCGGUGCGUGAACCGGAAUGAGAAACCAUUAAUUUGCAAUGGGAAAUACUCCUUUGCGAUGACAGAACACGCAUGUCUGCCAUCCCAGGCACCUCGCUGCACAGAUCAAGAUGCCCGUGACGUUCCGUGAGGGAGCCCGGUGGGGCGCCUGGCUGGCUCCUUCAGAAGAGCAUGGGACUCUCGAUGAUCUCAGGGUCGUGAGUUCAGACCCCAUGUUGGGCAUGGAGCCUACUUUAAAUAAAUAAAUAAAUAAAUAAAUAAAUAAAUAAAUA
rnacentral:lncRNA from 1 species